AAACGGAGGCUUGAAGGCCCAGUGGAGACCGGGGCCUUGUAGCAGAAGCAGGUCAGACGGACUACAUCGAAUUACAAGUUCCUGGAGGGCAGUCAGCUCGGGGCCGAAGGAGUUGUUUCACGGUGGACUGGGGACUUGGUUCAGGCACUGUUCUGCCGGGAAAACUGCCAGGUUUUACAUUUCGAUCGGAAAUAAAAAUCGGAGGCCCCGCGGCCCUGCCAAGGAGGGAAGCUCCUCUCCCAUCUGCUGUCUCUGCUGUCACUUCAAAUUCGGCCUUGAGCUCACUGAAUUCCCUGGAAACGGACCGUCACGCGGGAAAAAUGUCAGGUCACUGCCCGCUAGGUGGGCUUCCGGCAGGACACCAGAACUCGUGUCCAUAUUACAAAAGACGUCGUCUCCGGCCCGCCGCUUUGGCACGGACACAAAACCAAGCCUCGCCUAAUUAAGGAUGGCAAGCCGCUGCCAAAACGCAGAGUCUCUGUUCUCCAAUCAACUGCCAGCGGAGUCGGACCGGAAAUCCCGCUCGAGACAUUAAUCAGAAUUUUUGGGGGGUUGCAGUCGACAUUAAUCAUUUUAUUUCAAAAGAUAUGAAACAGUUUUUCACCGGAGCGGACAUCCGUACAAUACCUCGUCCAAAGCUGGACGAAGCUGAAAAUGGUGAUUCCUUCUUCGAUGGCAAGUCGAUCCGACACGGAGGGUUUCCAACGCGUUACCUAUGAUUCCUGAUUUCGAAAUCCAGCCCUCCACGCCAGAAAACACACCAUUUCAUCUUGCAGACAUAAACGCGUCACGGCAACGGACCCGGCGGCCGCCCCUUCCGAUUCUCUUCAAAUGACCAGAAAGAGGACUGAACCCACCAGUUGAAGGGCAACCCUCAGACACAUCCGUAGGCACGAAAGCUUGAAGAUGCCAUUCGACCGUCCCAGCGGAGCACCAAAUAUUGGUGAUUACAAACACUCCCUGCCCGGCCUUACUAUACUGGAUUAAAAAGUAAAAGGAAAAAGAA